AUACAUGCAGUCGGACGGGAUCCGGUGGUAGCUUGCUACCAUUGGUGAGAGUGGCGCACGGGUGCGAAACGCGUGAGCAACCUACCUCUAUCAGGGGGAUAGCCUCUCGAAAGAGAGAUUAACACCGCAUAACAUCAACAGUUCGCAUGUUCGGUUGAUUAAAUAUUUAUAGGAUAGAGAUGGGCUCGCGUGACAUUAGCUGGUUGGUAGGGUAACGGCUUACCAAGGCGACGAUGUCUAGGGGCUCUGAGAGGAGAAUCCCCCACACUGGUACUGAGACACGGACCAGACUCCUACGGGAGGCAGCAGUAAGGAAUAUUGGUCAAUGGGCGGAAGCCUGAACCAGCCAUGCCGCGUGCAGGAUGACUGCCCUAUGGGUUGUAAACUGCUUUUGUCCGGGAAUAACCCCAGAUACGUGUAUCUGGCUGAAUGUACCGGAAGAAUAAGGAUCGGCUAACUCCGUGCCAGCAGCCGCGGUAAUACGGAGGAUCCGAGCGUUAUCCGGAUUUAUUGGGUUUAAAGGGUGCGUAGGCGGCCUAUUAAGUCAGGGGUGAAAUACGGUGGCUCAACCAUCGCAGUGCCUUUGAUACUGAUGGGCUUGAAUCCAUUUGAAGUGGGCGGAAUAAGACAAGUAGCGGUGAAAUGCAUAGAUAUGUCUUAGAACUCCGAUUGCGAAGGCAGCUCACUAAGCUGGUAUUGACGCUGAUGCACGAAAGCGUGGGGAUCGAACAGGAUUAGAUACCCUGGUAGUCCACGCCCUAAA
rnacentral:rRNA from 1 species